AACGAACGCUGGCGGCGUGCCUAACACAUGCAAGUCGAACGUGAUUGGAAGCUUGCUUCCAUGAAAGUGGCGCACGGGUGAGUAACGCGUAGAUAAUCUACCUGAUGAUCCGGGAUAACACUUCGAAAGGGGUGCUAAUACCUGAUAAGCCCACGGAGUCCUUGGACUCUGCGGGAAAAGGGGGGGACCGUAAGGCCUUCCGUCAUCAGAUGAGUCUGCGUACCAUUAGCUAGUUGGUAGGGGAAAGGCCUACCAAGGCGACGAUGGUUAGCUGGUCGGAGGUGAUGGUCAGCAACGCUGGAACUGAGACACGGUCCAGACUCCUACGGGAGGCAGCAGUGGGAAUUUUGCGCAAUGGGGGAAACCCUGACGCAGCAACGCCGCGUGAGUGAUGAAGGCCCUUGGGUCGUAAAGCUCUGACAGAGGGAAAGAAGUGCAGGGUGGCUAAUAUCCAUCUUGCUUGACGGUACCCUCAAAGGAAGCACCGGCUAACUCCGUGCCAGCAGCCGCCGUAACAC
rnacentral:rRNA from 1 species